UUAGUAAUCCAUACAUUCCAGAAACCCUUAGUUGAAAAUUGAAAGUCGAAACACCACACGCGUCACGCUGUUGCUCCUGGCCUGUGCAACGAUCUCCGAUCUUCUUGCGUUCUCCGACGAUCUUCUCCGGUGACAUCUCAUCCAGCGUCGAUCUCCUACAGUGGCGAUCUCCUCCGGUGACGUCUCCUCCAGCUUCUUCUCCUUAUCAACCUCUGUGUCUUCUCCACCAAAAUUGUCAACAUCUUCCUUUCCUUCCUCUGCGACGAUCUAGGCUGUUUGCGAGGAUUCAUCGCGAGUGGAGAAGUCAAUUCCGCCAUUUACACAGCAAGAUCAACAGCAAUUUGUGUUCCGCUGCUCUGCCGCCGCUGACGUUCCUCUAUUUCUCUGCUUGGUGCCUUUGCUGCUGUCCUUCACUCUUCCAAAGGGUUUCAAAAAAUAGAAUGAAGGAUUCUGUAAAUUAUCAGAUCAUUUCUCCAAAAGAUCUAGCAAAGUCUGUUUUAUCUAGCAUAAUAGAGUUCACAAGAGAGGAUGUGGAAGCACUCUUAAAUGAGAAAGCCAAAAGAAAAGACAGAUUCAAUUAUAAGGUUAGUGAAAUUUAAUUGAGCUAAUUUGAUAAUUAUAAUUAUAAUUACCUGUUGUGUCAAUUGCUUAUCUGGAUUUCAGAUCAAAGGGGUUAUCAAAGUUGGAGAAGCAACUGGCAGAAGACUGUUUCUAAGUUGAUGGCACAGCUAAAUGAGAAAUCUUUCGAACUUGAGGUGAGAAUUAUUUACGUCUUUCUAAUAGAUCCAUACAUAUCAUUCGCAUUAAACAGAAAGUCCAGACUCCAGAUAGGGUUCAAAUGAAUGCUAGCACUGAGCAGGUCUUUAGUGGAACAUGUGAGGGGAAAAUAAAAACCCUAAAUUUAGUCCUUAAAGUCAACUUUGUUGUAGUAUUUUCCAACUUAAACAAAAACAGAGUAUGUCAUUAAUCCAAUUGAUUUUCUAAUUGCAAUGCUGCUAAUCAUGUGAGACAGCAGUGCCCUUAUUAUGUAGCAUAGACAUUUCAAUUGGCAAUUGAUGGUGCAUGAACAUUUCAAUUCUGUCAUGGUGCAUGAACAUAUUUAAGAUAUUU